GCGGGCGUAGCUUAGUGGCAAAGCACUAGGUUUCCACCCUAGGUACGCGAGUUCGAUUCUCGCCGCCCGCU
rnacentral:tRNA from 1 species